rnacentral:rRNA from 1 species
UACGUAGGGUGCAAGCGUUGUCCGGAAUUAUUGGGCGUAAAGAGCUCGUAGGCGGUUUGUCGCGUCGAAUGUGAAAACCCGGGGCUCAACCCCGGGCCUGCAUUCGAUACGGGCAGACUAGAGUGUGUAGGGGAGACUGGAAUUCCUGGUGUAGCGGUGGAAUGCGCAGAUAUCAGGAGGAACACCGGUGGCGAAGGCGGGUCUCUGGGCCGAUACUGACGCUGAGGAGCGAAAGCGUGGGGAGCGAACAGG